rnacentral:lncRNA from 1 species
GUGAAAGCCUUUAAUCUCAACACUCAACAGGCAGAAACAAACAUUUCUAUAAAUUCAAGGUCAGCUUGGUCUACACAAUGAAACCCUGUAUAAAAAAGGGGUGGGGAGGGGCAACAUGGAGUCUGGCAGGAUAGAGAUGGUUCUCUUAUGACUACUGUUGUCACAUCUUAUCCAUGACUCAGUCUGUAAGACACUGCAGUGGUGGGAACAGAGGAGUGGGAAAGACUACUUCCAGAGCCUGGCUGACAAAAACGACAGCUUCAUUUCAACAAGGAAGACACUCCUGCUACAUUCUCUGUUCCACCUCCUGAAGGGGCCAAGAUCUUACCUGGCUCCAGUCCCCGGGGUCCUCCACACUCUGGUAUGAUGCAAGCACCCAACAUGGGAGACACCUCCAUGAUGCCAGUAGCAGCCCCUCCUCCUGGGGUGAUGCCUGUGGGACCUGUUCCUCCAAUGAGGCCACCCAUGAGAGACACAUCCCCUUGGUGUCCAGGCCUCCAGUGAUGAGAUGGCACUGACCUGGCAUGGCAUGGCACAGGCAGGCAGACAGGUAAGAACAGGGGAUCAUCAGUUCCCUGCUUUUCUGUUUCAGACCAUGGGGCUACACCGGAGUAUUUUAUAGUGGUAUGACAAGCAAACUUCUCCCCAUAUCUAGCGUAGGGAAGAGUUUUGGCUAGGAGUAGAGAGACUUUUUUUUAAAGUAGUUUCAUUUGUAUCAUGAACUGUGAAAAUAAAAUGAGUAGAUUUUAGUUUAAAGGAAAAAAAAUCUGGCAGAAAGAAUGCCUUCUGUCCACAGUUUCUUCUGCUUGUAAAUACUAUGACACCCUUACAUCAUAUAUCUAUGUAUGUUCCCUUUUAUUAAAGAUGGAUGGGCUAAUGAGAUGGCUCAGCAGGAAAGGACACUGCUGCCAAGCCUGACCAUCUGGACUUGACUCCCCCCAAACCACCUGGUAUUACAGACCAUUAAUCCCAGCACUUAGGAGACAGACGCAGUGGAUCCUGUGAGUUCCAGGCCAGCCAAGAUUACAUAAUGAGACCCUGUCUCAGAAACAAAAGCAAUUCCAUACAGUGGAAGAAGAGAAGGGAUUCAGUGUGAUCCUCUGACCUAUGCACACAAUAAAUAUAUGUAAUAAAACUUAAAUAAUAGGCAUUCUCCACUUAAAAAUCAUUUUCACUUUAUGUUUUUAUAAGAACUAGAGACAUCUGGGGCUCAAGAGAUAUUUCAGUGGCUAAGAGCAUGCACUGGUCUCUCAGAGGACCUGAGUUCUGACCCUAGCAACCCACAUCAGGCUACUCACAACUACCUGUAGCUCCAGUUCCAGGGAAUCCACCACCUCUAGCCACUACAGGAACCUGCAUUCACAUGCACAGGCACACAUAAAUACAUACAAUUCAAGAUGCCCUGUCUGCCCUCCAGGGUGUUGGCACAUCUGGCUACCCUGACACUACUUUACCACAAGUGACUCCUCCCAUUGCAUGAGGCAAUUCCAGUCAAUUUCUGUGAAGUAAUUGCAUUUUUUUUCUCGUAUUCAAAUAUUGUAAGAAAAAUUAGGUAGUGGUGUUGCCUUUGAUCUCAGCAUUGGGAGCCACAGGCAGGUGGAUCUUCAAGGCCAGCCUGAUCUAUAGUGUAAGCUCCAGGAUAGCCAGGGCUACAUACAGACCUGUCUUGAGAACAUGAUAAAAUAAAUGUAAUAAAUAAAAGAAUAAGGAUUUUUAGUAGCAAGUUAAAAUUUAACAGGAACUUUAAAUAGUGUGGUUUUAGGCUGUUUAGACAGUUGAAACUACACAGUGAAACACUGUCUUGAAAACCAACAAAAAAGUAGACACAUUAAAUUUGCCGCCUCAUCUGUGUGCGCUUGGAUGUAAGAGAUCAACAGCAAGCGUCCUCAGUGGUACUCCCACUUACAUGUAAAUGGGUACAUGUGCUGUGGGGGCAAGAAGUUGAAUUCAGGCAUCCUGCUUUACCACUCUCCAGCUUUUUCUUUAAAAAAAAAAAAAAAAAGUGAUUGUGUAGGCCAGGGGAUAAGUUGCCACAGUUAAUUCUCUCUUUCUCCCAUGUGGGUUCCAGGGACUUCGAUUGUCAAGCUUAACAGCAAGUGGCUUCACCUGCUAAGCUCUCGCUGGCCCGCAACCCUAUUUUUAAAUUCUAGCACAAGGUCUCACGGAACCCAGAGCUCACUAAUUGGCUAGGCUGGCCGACUGGCCAGUGAAGUCUAAACAUCUGCCUUUUUCCACCUCACAAAUGCCGGGUUCCAAACAUGCCUGUCAUUUAUCUGAGAACCGGGAUCCAACUCAGGGCUUCCUACUCUCACGGCAAGCGUUUUCCUAGGGAGUUGCCUCCCUCACCAUCCACUUCACCUUUUAAAGGUGUAUUGAUUUUUAUUUUAUGUGUAUGAGUGGCCUGCCUGCAUAUAUAUAAGUGCACUGUAUGAGUAGCUGAGGCCAUGAAGACCAGAAGGUGCUAGAUCUAGAACUGGAGUGACAGACUAGAGUAAGCUGCCACAUGGCUUGUAAUCAGAAUUAAUACAGUGGUCAUUAGCCACAUAUGGCCACUUUAACCAUUUCGAAUGUGGCUAGUUGCAACUAAAAUGUUUUAAAUGUAAAAUGCACAUCAUAUUUUAAAGACUUUGUGAAGGAGCUGGAGAGAUGGCUCAGCAGUUAAGUGUACUGGCCAUUCUUUCAGAGAAUUCAGAUUCAAUUCCCAGCAUCCCCAUGACAGAUCACCACUGUCUGUAACGCCAGCAUCAGAAGUUCCAACACAUUCAGAGAUACACAUGCAGGCAAAACUUCAAUACACAGAAAAUAAAGACUUUGUGAAAACAAUACAUUGAAUAGUAAUUACAUAAAUGAUAGAUACCUUGAAUACACUUUAGUUAUAACAGCUUACCCAAGGGG